rnacentral:rRNA from 1 species
UACGAAGGGGGCGAGCGUUGUUCGGAAUUACUGGGCGUAAAGGGCGCGCAGGCGGCCUAUCAAGUCAGGCGUGAAAGCCCCGGGCUUAACCUGGGAAUUGCGCUUGGGACUGAUGGGCUAGAGUUCGGGAGAGGAGAGUGGAAUUCCCAGUGUAGAGGUGAAAUUCGUAGAUAUUGGGAAGAACACCGGUGGCGAAGGCGGCUCUCUGGACCGAGACUGACGCUGAGGCGCGAAAGCGUGGGGAGCAAACAGG